GACAGAGGCCCCCAAGCGUUAGGCGGAAUCACUGGGCUUAAAGCGUGUGUAGGCGGACGCCUAAGUGUCUUGUGAAAAUCCCCACGGCUCACCCCGUGGAACUGCUGGGCAUACUGGGCGUCUUGGGCCAACUAGGGGCAGCCGGAACAAGCGGUGGAGCGGUGAAAUGCGUAGAUAUCGCUUGGAACGCCGAAGGUGAAAACAGGCUGCUGGGGU
rnacentral:rRNA from 1 species